AGUUUGCAUGCAUGAAUAUGAUGCUAGAGUAUAAGGGAGUUUCACCUAAUAGUUACAAACUUAUAUUCACUAGUAGUGGAGGUCGCUUAUAAAUGAUCGCGUUAAAUAAAUUCUUGGCAGGAGUUUCAUGCUCAUCAUAGUAACGAAUGCCUCGUCAAUACUUAUAGUUUUCAUAAUGCUUAAUGAUCUUUGAUUGUAUCUUUAUUGUACUGUUCACGUAAAGAACUUUUGAAGAAUGCUUGAAUUGUUGUAUGCGCUUUCCCAUCCAAUUCAAUAACUUAAGGAGAACUUGAAGGUUAAUUUAAGCGAACUUAAUUAACCUGGGGUGUUGAGUUUCAUGAUUGAUCGAAAGAACAACUGAAAAUUGGUUUAUGUGCAAGUAUGUCAUGUGUGGAGAAGAACCUCCUAGCUAGCCUUCCAUCCAUUCAAUUUACUCAAAUUCGUGCAGAUUUCAUUAGUUCUUUAAUUUACUUGUUUUGUUUUCAAAUUCGUCAAAACCAAAACCCCCUUUACUUUAAAGUGUUUUAUUAGUCAAAAUCUGUUUUGAUUUGUGUUUUUAUGUGUCCCAAAAGUGUGUUAGAGUCCAAAUCUGCCCAGUUUGUGUUUUUAGGCAGAUUUGAGCGUUUUUAGCUUGUUUUGAGUGCUUUGAGUUUGUUUUAAGUUCUUUGAGUCUAGUUUAGUGUUUUUAACUUUGUUUAUAUGUUUUUAAGUCAGUUUAGAGGUUUUAGCAAGCCCUCAUAAUCCCCGGUUUAGAAUGAUCCCUACUUGCAUUUAUACUACAAUUUGACAACAAGAGGGUUUAAUUUGUGUGUUAAGUUAAUUUUCGCAUCAAAGCUUUGGAGUUGAAGCUUUUGUUGGGUACUAUGAAUAUAUUUUGCUUCACACUAUCUUGAUCAAGAUAGUGUGAAGCUUUUGAGAAUUUGUAGUUGUCCUCCAUUGAUGAAGCUUUUGUUGGUGAAGCUUUGGAGUUGAAGCUUUUGUUGGUGAAGCUUUUAUGGGUGAAGCUUUUGUUGGGUACCAUGAAUUGAUUUUGCUUCACACUAUCUUGAUCAACAUAGUGUGAAGCUUUUGAGAUUUUGUAGUUGUCCUCCAUUGAUGAAGCUUUGUUGAAUUUCCCUUUAAUUCUUUUUUUUUUGGGAAACUAGAAAUUUGAAAAUGUGGGAGAGACAACAUAUGCAAAUUUUGCUUCCACACUGUUGAGCAAGAGAUUGUGAUGCAAGCCACACUUUGUAGUAGUCAAAGGUUUGGAUGAACCAUAUAAAUUGAAAUUGCUUCGAAGAGUCUUGAAUUUGCUUCGAAGGUUUGAGAAUUGUAGUUGCCCUCCAUUGAUGAAGCUUUUGUUGGCACCAUAAAUUGGUUUUGCUUCACACUGUCUUGAUCAAGAGUGUGUGAAGCUUUUGAGAAUUGUGGUUGAACUCCUUUGAUGAAGCUUUUGUUGGCACCAUAAAUUGGUUUUGCUUUACAUUGUCUUGAUCAAGAGUGUGUAAAGCUUUUGUUGGCAUCAUAAAUUGGUUUUGCUUCACACUGUGUUGAUCAAGAGUGUGUGAAGCUUUUGAGAAUUGUUGUUGAACUUCUUUGAUGAAGCUCUUGUUGGCACCAUAAAUUGGUUUUGCUUCACACUGUCUUGAUCAAGAGUGUGUAAAGCUUUUGAGAAUUGUGGUUGCCCUCCAUUGAUGAAGCUCUUGUUGGCACCAUAAAUU
rnacentral:lncRNA from 1 species